AUACAGAGGGUGCAAGCGUUAAUCGGAAUUACUGGGCGUAAAGCGCACGUAGGUGGUUCAUUAAGUCAGAUGUGAAAGCCCCGGGCUCAACCUGGGAACUGCAUUUGAAACUGGUGAGCUAGAGUAUGGUAGAGGUAAGUGGAAUUCCAGGUGUAGCGGUGAAAUGCGUAGAUAUCUGGAGGAACAUCAGUGGCGAAGGCGACUUACUGGACCAAUACUGACACUGAUGUGCGAAAGCGUGGGGAGCAAACAGGAUUAGAAACCCUAGUAGUCC
rnacentral:rRNA from 1 species